AGUAACGGCGAGUGAAGCGGCAACAGCUCAAAUUUGAAAUCUGGCCUUUGGCCCGAGUUGUAAUUUGUAGAGGAUGCUUUUGGUGCGGUGCCUUCCGAGUUCCCUGGAACGGGACGCCUUAGAGGGUGAGAGCCCCGUACGGUUGGACGCCUAGCCUCUGUAAAGCUCCUUCGACGAGUCGAGUUGUUUGGGA
rnacentral:rRNA from 1 species